UUUUUUUUGAAAUGUUAGCUGUUUCAACUAACGAGAUAUUUGAUUCUUAUUUGUCCUGACAUAUUUUUCUAGGCGCUCAUGAAUAUCGAUUUCUCCAUGUUCAACAUAUAAGUCUUAGGAUACAUUUAAUUUCAAGGUUUUCAAAUUUGCAUUGUUCUUGCAAGUUUUCUUCAAAUAUACUUACAAUAAUAUAUUGUUAUCGCGUCUAUGACAGAUUAAAAUGUUUGUCAAUUUUAGAGGAUUCGCUAUUGGUAAGUCAUUUUAAAUGGAAUCGCUUUUGGUAAAUUGAUGAAUUUGGUAUGCAGCUGAAUAAGUAUUGGCAGGUCUCAUUUCCAUCAGUUUAAAAAAAACACUUAUGGUAUGGUAAUUAUAUUUGGUAUGCAGUUGUAAUUACAUUUACAAAUCUAAUUUGAAUGGUUGCAUUGUUUUCCCCCUCCGCUCACUGCUCACUUUCAUGGACUAGUGUGUAGGUAAUUUGUCAGUUAAAGAGGAACCAAUCGUGGUAUAACGUCAAUAAUGUUGUUUUGCAGUUGUAUAAAAAACAAUUGUCACUUCUCAUGUCCUUGGAGAUUUGUUUGUUACUCUUGAGUACAUUGACUUUGAACGUUUUGCAAAAUUAAAACAUUAAAGUGUUGAGUUUAAUUUAAUUUUGCAUUAUUGCACGAAGAUCCGACACAGGUGAGGCAUAUUAUCUCUGUGUAAACAGUUCAUAUGUUCAAUAGUUAACUUGUGUAUCUAUUAAAAAAAACGUUUUAUGUAAUUUGUGGUUACAAAAGCACGACUUAAUUAUACACUUAACAUGAAGUACAGUCAUUUGAGUCUUAAAUGCAUUUUACCCAUAAUUUUGUUUUAAGUCGUAAGUCUUAGUUUUAAACGUAGGUGUGUUUUCCAGUAUUAAAUUUCUUUUAAACUUGGUUUAAAUCAAACUGAUCAAUUUAUUACGUUUGCAAGAUAAAUACAUGAGAUCUCUUUUUAUUUUUUAUUUUUUUACCUUGAGUGCUUGUGUGUCUCAUAAGUCUUUAUAAGCUUGGUUCUGAUUUUUUUAUGUGAUUUACUUGUUUUUAUGUGAUUUUUUAUUGUUUUAUUGUGCUUGUGUGUCUCAUAAGUCUUUAUAAGCUUGGUUCUGAUUUUUUUUAUGUGAUUGUACUUGUAAAUAUUUAGUUUUGUGUAAGAUCAACAUGUGACACUUUAAUAAAAUAAAUUUUUC
rnacentral:lncRNA from 1 species